AGGUCACUUCCAAAAGGGCUUGUUGGACCAAACCAGGAGCUCUUAAAUACUGUGACCAAAGACUGAAAUUCUCCAUAAGAUGUGAUAGCCACUCAAUUGUGCUGUUUUCCUGAGUAGAGACAGAU
ensembl:snoRNA